UACGGAGGGUGCGAGCGUUGUCCGGAAUCACUGGGCGUAAAGGGCGCGUAGGCGGCAUGCCAAGCGUGUGGUGAAAGCCCGGGGCUCAACCCCGGGUCGGCCGUGCGGACUGGCGUGCUCGAGCACUGCAGGGGAGACUGGAAUUCCUGGUGUAGCGGUGAAAUGCGCAGAUAUCAGGAGGAACACCGGUGGCGAAGGCGGGUCUCUGGGCAACAACUGACGCUGAGGAGCGAAAGCGUGGGGAGCGAACAGG
rnacentral:rRNA from 1 species